rnacentral:rRNA from 1 species
GACGAACGCUGGCGGCGUGCUUAACACAUGCAAGUCGAACGGAAAGGCCCUGCUUUUGUGGGGUGCUCGAGUGGCGAACGGGUGAGUAACACGUGAGUAACCUGCCCUUGACUUUGGGAUAACUUCAGGAAGCUGGGGCUAAUAUCGGAUAGGAGCUCCUGCUGCAUGGUGGGGGUUGGAAAGUUUCGGCGGUUGGGGAUGGACUCGCGGCUUAUCAGCUUGUUGGUGGGGUAGUGGCUUACCAAGGCUUUGACGGGUAGCCGGCCUGAGAGGGUGACCGGCCACAUUGGGACUGAGAUACGGCCCAGACUCCUACGGGAGGCAGCAGUGGGGAAUAUUGCACAAUGGGCGGAAGCCUGAUGCAGCAACGCCGCGUGCGGGAUGACGGCCUUCGGGUUGUAAACCGCUUUCGCCUGUGACGAAGCGUGAGUGACGGUAAUGGGUAAAGAAGCACCGGCUAACUACGUG